CCCGUUAAACAUAUACAUGAACUAUACGUGAACGCAGAAGAGUGCAUUUCUCAGCAUUUAUUCAGAACUGUGUGUUUGUUAAAUGCAGAUUUGUGGUUUGUGUUAGCGCGAGCAGCUAACCGUAAUGGCGCUCGCGAACAUCACUGAGCAGCAAAUAUUCUGUUUGGAUUUGUGCUUUGUCAGACGAUUUGUUUAUAAAAUUGAUUUAUAUUUCAGUAUUUAAGUGUGUUGAAUGUUUGUCGUUGUAUUGGAGUGUUUUCUCUACACUCGAAAAACGGUGGGUUUUGUAGAAGGAGCUUUAAAUAAGUAUAAAUAUGAAGUUUGCGUUGAGUAUAAUGUUAAGCACGCGCAGGUUUCGCUCUUUGUGUCAGAGACGAAGGUGUACGUGGGUAAUCUGGGCACCGGGGCCGGUAAGGGUGAGCUGGAGCGCGCGUUCGGUUAUUACGGGCCGCUGAGGACCGUGUGGAUCGCGCGCAAUCCUCCGGGAUUCGCCUUCGUGGAGUUUGAAGACCCGAGAGACGCCGAGGACGCAGUGCGUGGAGUGGACGGCAAGGUGAUUUGUGGAUCUCGUGUGCGUGUGGAAUUAUCCACAGGAAUGCCGCGGCGUUCCCGAUACGAACGGCCACCGACUCGCCGUCCCUUCGACCCGAGCGACCGCUGUUACGAGUGUGGCGAGAAGGGCCAUUAUGCGUACGACUGUCACCGUUACAGCCGUCGGCGCCGGAACAGGUUUCAUCGUUUGAUUCAGAGAAUCGCGAUCCUUUACGAUUUCAUGAGGCAUCUAGCAAAUUCCACACUUUCGAUCGCCUGCUAUGACGGGGGCACGAGCAGCCACACCCCUUCGCUGAGGCUCCUCCCGCUGCUACAUAACUAUUCGUAGCCCCUCCCCCACCUGAACCAGAUGAGAGUAAAUUUGGCUAGCGAUUCGAGCCCACGGUUUUGAUAAAGAGCAUCGAGACCUCGACAGACCACGAUCCCUUCUAGAAUAAGCGCCUUGCACACUUCCAUCAAGCCUCGAUCAAGUGAUUUGGCUGUCGGUACGAUCAUCGUUAGAAAUCGAAGGGAACGACUAGAUGCAGAGGUCGGCUGAUGAUAGAUACUUCUAGAUCGUCUAGAUCUGCUAGACCUCGACCUGCAAUGUUGCAAGGUCUCGCUCGCGUUCUCCAUCCAGAAGCCGGAGACACGGUCGCUCGCGCAGUCGAGGGAGAAGGUCCAGAUCUUUUUCUCCUCGUAAGUCUCGCUCUGGAUCUCCCAGACACUCUCGAUCUGUGACGCCGAAACCGUC